rnacentral:lncRNA from 1 species
GCAGGGCAGCAUCCCGCCCACCCUAGGAACUAGCUCGGUAUGCCCGACAGCAUACAAGAGGAGCUCACCUUGCGCGUGGAUAAUUUGGUCCGCCCUCGCGGGUUUGAGCCCGGCUUGCUGGAGGCCUGUAUAGCUGGCAUCCUUCAGGUCAUCCAGCGUAGCGUAGCCACCCUCCAAUAGCAGGCGCAGGUCUGCGUCGGUGAACCUGCCAGCUCUUGCAGGCCCGAGCAGGCUCUCCAAAGCCGCCCGCAGGCCGACCAAAGCCAUAUCCUAGGGCCAACCCCAAGUGCGUUACUAUACAGGGAUUCGCAAAGUCUUUUGGAUAUUUUGAGUGCAAAGUAGUUGGGUAUGAACAGUCGCGCGCUCCCAUCCGGCGGUGCACGAUUCGGGCUUUCGCGAAACCGAACGCCCCUCCCCCGCAACGCCCCUCCCCCUGCUGCUUGGCGGAAGGUUGUAAAUACCAGCCCAAAAUAAACCAAAACCAACGAAAACGGGAGUGCAGGCAGAGGCGUUAGUUGCGAGCGAUAAUACUUGUGGGAUGUGGGCCGAGGCGUCGCGGAGCGGGGGGGAGGGAAACCCUUCCCCUACACCCUCUCCCUGUGCAGCUCGGAGUGCGGUGGGGAGUGGGGACUGGGGAGCCCUGUGGCUAAUAGCUGGGCUCAAGCUAGCGAUGGGUUAUCAGAUGGCACCGGCUUGCUCCGCCUGGCGCGUCGUCUAGGGACUCACACAGUCCUAUGGACGUGCCGGUCGCGACCACGGAGUACACCCGUGGGCUCGGCCAUAGCUUUAACGGGAUUAUGCAGCUGUUGGGCCGGCAUCAUCGACGCGGGGGUAGCGGUUUGCUGCAUUCCUCCUUCCCAUGUAUCUGUGAUGGUCUUUACCCUGUUCCCCUCUUGCACUUCCUGCUCUGGCUAGAAUGCGAAUGGCGAGAUUAACUCUCCCGCAACAAGCUGCCGCACCAGUAUGCAAAAAGGCGCCACAUGUUAUCCACAGGCGGAGCGGGCCGCAGAGCCACCGCGGCAGCCGCUACAAUACAAUGCCACACAUGCUGCCCCACCACGCCACCACAUGCCCGCAGCUCCCCCAUUUCUCCCUACUUUCGCCAAAUUCUCAAUCGCAGCCCUACUCCGCGAGUAGCCCCACCAGCUUGCAAGAUGAACGGCAUCAUGCUAGGACAACCCAUCAAACCCAGGAGCAUUAUUAUGCAGUCGUGUGUUAACGGCACUCUGCAGCUAGCUUCAGUCCCUAUCACCAUCUUCCUGUUGACUACGCGACCUAGCCACUCCUUCCUGUAAUACUGGUUUCUCUCUCUCCCAACACAAAUGCACCGUGUUUACUACGCUAUUUGCGCAUCCUCGCCUUGAAGCAGCCGUAACGCACACAAAAGAUAGAGUAAGGUGCGUCUGUCCCACCCGGCCGCCGCGCCAGCUCAUAUCUGCCCAGCAAGCGGAGCAAAGCUGCCGCCGCCUGUCCGCCAUAUCGUACACAAAUGCGCUACUACAGCAUCUACACUCCCAACGAAUGCCGUGGGGGUGCAGUGCCUUCAAAAUGAAUAUCUCUCCAGCGCAUCCACACCCGGCAAAAACACACAGACGCACGUGCAUGGUGAUGCUACCCGCUCUGCGUUCUGCUGUCAUGGCGCCGUAAGAUGCAUUUUGACUUGCGUGUCGUUCGCAUGCCAGCACUCGGUUGCAUGCACUCGCAUGCCAGCACUCAUUUGUGUGCACACAGUGCGGUGGCAACAAUACAAGCGUGUACACUAGUUCAUCAGUUAAUCUUGCGCAUUACACUCGUGUCAGCUAGCUGCAUGUCAUCCAGGAGACUGCCGCCGCCAUGGCCACCGCUAUAACGUAGUGCAUGGCCAGCGGCACCGGAUCCGCCCAGAGGCCAGGCGGGCAGCCGCAUGCACAAAGAUGGCGGCCAGAAGGCCACAGCCCCCCCUCCGCAAUCCACACCAGGCCACACCGCACCCACCGCACCCGGGGCCGCUGCUGCUGUUGCUGCGUGCCCCUGCAGCAGCCAUCCAGCUGGCACCCUGACUGCUCCAGCAGCAGCCCGCUGAACGCGAACAGGUGCACCUGCAGCGUCGUGUUCAUGAUGAUGCCACACCCCAGCAGCCACCACUGCAACCUACCAGUGCGCGGCGCCCCGCCGGUCUUACUCCACCAAUGGCAUGCAUGGCGGCCCGCUGAAGGCAUCCAGGAGGAUGCUGGCCCGUUCCCUGACCGGCACCAGGACGACGGCCACCAGGUAGCAAGGGCCGACUCCUGUUGAUUUUUUGGGGGGGCGUGCAUUGGGAUGUAAGCGCCACCCCUGACAGCAGGCAGACGAGGACGCGCAUGCAUACUGGAGUGCUUGGUGCGUGGCGGGCUGGAUGGCAUUGGCAUCACACCAGUGGUUGGAGGUGGUCGGCAACUAUCCACCAACGUGCCGGCAGCCAACACAUGAGCUCUGGUGCCCAAUGUCUCAUGCAUGCCGAAACGUUGGACACCCAACAGGACACACCACCACAAGCCACACCGAGCAAGAACGUUACGUUCACAGUAGCCAGGCAGUCAACAACCGUGUCCCGAUGUUGCCGAUUGCACUGCUGUACUGUCCGCAUGUCACUUUGCCCCACAAUAACCCAGCGCCCUGGCAUUUGUGCUCCCCACCCCACCCUGUACACAGCACACAGCCCCAAGACCUGGCAUCCAGCUACUCACCCUGCUAGUCGCUCUGCUGAUGCAAGCACCUACAUGUGCGGGCAGUGGGAGCCAUCAGCGUUGCCACAUAAAACAUGGAAAACGAUACAAGCCAUCCCGCAUCGGUUGUGUCGCCCGUAUCUCGUGCCCGUAUCUCACCCCGAAACUACGAAUACAAAGGCAGCGACAGGGGCAGGGAUGGGGCGGGGGUCCGGGCCUCCUCGGGCGGUUGAGCGAAGUCUGCAGCUCGCAUCCACGAGCUGACCAGCUCCAGCUCCGCCGACUCGUGCUCCUCUGGCGGCAUGAAGGGCAGCUAGUACUCCUGCUGCUCCUGCAGCGCGGCCUCGCCGCCAAACGUGGGGCUAAGGACCUGCUGCACGUGGCGCAUGGUCCGCUGCUCCUCCUCGGGGAUUUGGUGCAGCUGCAGGUUGAGGCCCGCCCGCACGCUGCCCGCCGCCCGCAGGUGCUGCGCCUGCAAGUAGUACGCCUGCACAGUAGAGCAUCCAUGACACGCGGCGGUAGCACACUGCUAAAUGGAUAUUGUUUUGAAAAGAAUGUGUAAGCUAUGUACCUACCUGUGUCGGCGUCAGAUUAUCCCACACGAGCAAGUACUUGUUGCGUAUCGUGUAGACGUUGUGCUUCCGGCCAUCCGUCAGGUCCAAAAGCACCGGGCAGCGGCCCCAGGCAUAUGCCCCCAGCAGCUCCACGACCGCUUGGCGUUUGCGGGGUGCCUGUCAGUCCGGAAAUCCGCAUACCAGACUGUCUUUUGUCCCAACGUGCCUAACGCUUCAUACGCACAAGUAAGUACCCUUCUACUCGCGGACCAUUAGAUGCACCCAUACGCCGUACGGCGGCCGGACACACCUGGAUGGCAGCAUGAAUGCAUAGUGGGAACUGCGCUCACCCAUGCAGCGCUCACCUUAAUGUUGAGCUCGUGCUCAUAGAUGAUCCGAAGUUGGUGCACAAGACUCCGCUCCGUCAGGCCGUACGGGGCGACGCAGCCGUCAAAGCCGCCGUUGAAGGACUUCUCACCACAUGUGAACCCCAAGAGCUUGCCCUUGCUGUGGUUAUCGUACAUCUCAAAACCGCCCAGCUUGUCAAACACGACGCCAAGCUUCAUCAACUGCUGCUGGUGGUGCUGAAGGAGCGCUGGCGUCAUGGCAUCCUCACUGCGGCCCUCCUGUUGCACAAAGCUGGCACAUUCUGGUGUGCCUUCCGGCACCUGCACCUCCUGCGGCGCCACCACCUCGCCACGGACCUCCACCAGCUUGACACUCCUUAUGAGGGUGUCCACGUCCUGGCUGCCCACUGAGGAGAAGGACUGAGGCUUGCGCGCACGCCACUGCUUCGCCUCCAUCUCAAGCCACGUCUCCCGGAUUGCCGCACGUACAAGUUCGCGCAGCGACUCUGUCCAAGGGAGCACACGACAGCAUUUAUCAGGGACACGUCAGCACGAGCCUUCAAUCAAUAGCACCCAAGCCCACGCGCACGCACUCAGCAGACAUGCCGCCGGUCUGGGAGGGAUGUUUGAGGUCUGGAGGGACGUUUCAAAGGGCACGGUACUUUGACAAAGUUCGCAUGUAGAAUAUAAUCCAGAAUUUGGCAGAAUUUUUACCCGCGGCUAACGCGACCGUGUCUAUGAUACGUCGCCACCUAUCCCGUAGCUGGGGUGGGGUCGUAUGGGGGUGCGUUCAAGUAUGGGGGUGCGUUCAAGUAUGCUUGGCACGGUCGGACACAACAGUUAUCGGGCCGACCUACACAAUAGCAGAAAGUGGUUAGCUACUGAUUAAAGGCAUCGACAACCCGAAAGACUUGUUUGCGGGCUGAUGGAAGAUGUCGCAGCCGAGAUGCCUGACAAAGCUUGACACGCAUAUCGCCCGUACUUGAGUUAUUGUUGAUCUCUAUUGUCUGUCAUACAGGUCCUGAAGGCUUGACGCGACUUUCGCCCUAUGCAAUACCCGUCUGUUUGGAGCGAUAUACGAAGUAGUAGUAACGCGUGCUCAGUCACCGCCCCCGACCACUUUCCGCGGCCAUGAACACUCACCGGCGCCUGCCUGCUCCGUGCUCCCCCCGGCGCUACCGAGCGUAGGGCCACCGGCUACACCUGAAAUGAGGGAGGGCGGCAAAGGUGGCACGCAGAGGUCGUCACCUGAAGGCAGCUGCAGUUGCUGUGACGCGCAUCAUUUGGGCUGUUGACACGACGACCAGCACAGUGACAGCAGAAAUGACGUGCCCUUAGUCCCAAGCACUUGACCGGGUGUAGGCUGUCCCGCCUGCCUGCUGGCCGCCCCUUGGCGCCACGCCUGGCACGCUGCUAGUGUUUCCACCAAGAACCCACUCGCACCGAUACCCGAUGGCCCCACUCUAUUGCCGCCGAUUCCCAACAAAACGUGUGCCAAACCCCACCCUACGGCCUCGUGGAAAUGCUCACCAGCAGCAGCCGGCAGCGAGUCUGCAGGAGCAGGCAGAACGGAUCCCAGUGAGACUGUAGCUUCAAGUUUGCGGGCAAACAACUGCCCCGAUACGCUUGGGUCCAUUAAGCACAGUCACUGGUCAUUCAAGCAAUCAGUCGCCAUUGGGACCCGCACAGCUGUUCCCCCAGCGGCAGAGGUAGCUCCCCGCUGGCCAAUGGCCAGCCUAUGCAUGAGCCUAAGCCGCCGCAUGAUGCUAAAGUUGGUGUUUUUGCUCAGGUCAAAGUCGCCCAAUGAAAACUCACCGACUCCUGCCGCACUCCCCACGCCCAGGCCAGCCGCCGAGGCUGCACGACAUACGAGCGGUCGGGGGACACACGCAUACCAUGAGUUGCACGUCCAAGUUUGCAGACGCGACGCGCGGAAACGCGAAGCGCGCUUGCGUUACGCUGCCAAUUAUGCCGUCCUGGUCCCGACGUGCAUGUCGCUGCACGUCUGACGCGCACCAGCUCUCCCAACCACCCAGGGACGCUUCCCAAGCUUCCCGCAUACCGUAGCGCGCAACAAUAGCCCCAACAUGCGUUUCGGAUAUUCAUCGGUUGGUUGGUCAGUCGGACACGCCCAGCUGUGCCCACAGCGGCGAAAGUAGACUCCCGCGAACGGCAACAUCACCAGCUCGAAUGCUCAUCCGGCUGAUGCCUGUGGCCUACCUUACUAGGUAGACCCGCAGCAUGCUGCAUGCAUGCAUAAGAGGACCUCACCUUGCGCGUGGAUAAUUUGGUCCGCCCGCGCGGGUUUGAGCCCGGCUUGCUGGAGGCCUGUAUAGCUGGCAUCCUUCAGGUCAUCCAGCGUAGCGUAGCCACCCUCCAAUAGCAGGCGCAGGUCUGCGUCGGUGAACCUGCCAGCUCUUGCAGGCCCGAGCAGGCUCUCCAAAGCCGCCCGCAGGCCGACCAAAGCCAUAUCCUAGGGCCAACCCCAAGUACGUUACUAUACAGGGAUUCGCAAAGUCUUUUGGAUAUUUUGAGUGCAAAGUUGGGUAUGAACAGUCGCGCGCUCCCAUCCGGCGGUGCACGGAUUCGGGCUUUCGCGAAACCGAACGCCCCUCCCCCGCAACGCCCCUCCCCCUGCUGCUUGGCGGAGGGUUGUAAAUACCAGCCCAAACUAAACCAACCAAAACCAACGAAAACGGGAGUGCAGGCAGAGGCGUUAGUUGCGAGCGAUAAUACUUGUGGGAUGUGGGCCGAGGCGUCGCGGAGCGGGGGGGAGGGAAACCCUUCCCCCUACACCCUCUCCCUGUGCAGCUCGGAGUGCGGUGGGGAGUGGGGACUGGGGAGCCCCGUGGCUACUAGCUGGGCUCAAGCUAGCAAUGGGUUAUCAGAUGGCACCGGCUUGCUCCACAUGGCGCGUCGUCUAGGGACUCACACAGUCCUAUGGACGUGCCGGUCGCGACCACGGAGUACACCCGUGGGCUCGGCCAUAGCUUUAACGGGAUUAUGCAGCUGUUGGGCCGGCAUCGACGCGGGGGUAGUGGUUUACUGCAAUCCUCCUUCCCACGUAUCAGUGAUGGAAUGAUGGUGCUCACUACCCCCAUCUUGUACUACCUCGGACAUACGUGCCGUUGUUGUUUGCCAUCUGCUGGGGACUGGGAAUCAGCUGCACCUACAGGACUUCACCAAUCAAUCUGCCUUAACCCUGUCCCAUCGCACACUCUUCUUGCACUACGUACCUCGGACAAAAUCUACUCCUGCAAUGUCGCCCAUGCCUUGCAGGUCUCGCCUGCAGUUCAUCCUCUUCUCAACGUACACCUACGUCAACCUGCUUGUGCCUCUGGGAACGAUGCGGUGCCAGCAGGCCCUUCACAACGCUCAUUCCGCCUGCAUGGUGAGCCUGCGGACACAACCACGCCCGGCCAUACAAUUUGCCCUCUUACCAGCCAGGACAACUAAUCCUCCCACCGUUCCCACCGCCCACACGCCAAGAGUCAGUAACACCCGCUAUCUACACGGCAGCCUCAGCUGGCCUUGCACGUGUCAUUCUACCAGCUAGUAGAUAGCGCCCCGCCUAACAGCUAGCUACUGCGUGCGCCGGCGCUUCAUGGCCGCUGCGAAGCCAAACGCGCUGUUGUACUGCUUCUGCGGCGGCCUACAGACAGCAGCAGAUAGAGAGGUGCGCGGACAGCAGAUGGGGGCAGGGUGGGGUGAGGUCUUUGAGAACCACGCACAGGUGUUGCUGCCAUUGACCCUGCGCCGAGGCCUGAGCUAACGCUUGCUCGCUUGCUGCACCCACUGCAGGACGCAUGUGGCCGAGUGGCGGCGCAAGCUCUGAGCUUGUGGCGCAAGCUCUGAGCUUGUGCACCAUUUCCGCCAAGCCAGCUGCCUCACCCCCAUCGCUCGGGGCCCCCAGCCUCAGCCCCAGCCCCAGCCCCAGCCCCAGCCCCAGCCCCAGGCUCGGCCCCAGCACCAGCACAACCCCACAGGCAAUCCAGCCGACCAACCCGUCCUCCAUUCCACCCCGCUGGCCCCGCCGCUCCGUUGCGCUUGCUUGUACCUACCCCGCCCGCUCACCCGUCCGGCAGCGCCCCCGGCAGCCCCGCCAUGACGCCGCGCUGCUUGGCACGCUCUGCCUGCUCCCGAGCCAGGCGCUCAGCCCGCAGCUGCUCCAGGGACUUGGAGCCGCCGCUGCCGCCACCGCCACCGCCGCCAGCGGUUACAACGGCAGCAGCGUCGCUGCGGCGUCGCUUCUUGCCGCUGCGGUCCUUGCCGCCACCGCUGCGGCUGCGACGGCUGCCGUCUUUGCCGCCGCGGCUGCUUUUCGGCUUCUUGUGCCUGGAGGAGGAGCGGGCUUUGCUAUCGCGCUUGUGGCUGCGGCUGCGGCUCCGGUGGUCGCGUUUGGCGGAAGGAGAUGAGGAGCGACGAUGCUCACGCCGCCUCCGCCGCUGGCGCUCAUCAAUGCUGCUGUCGCUAUCGCUGCCGCUGCUACUGCUAGCGCUACUACUGCUGGUGCUGCUACUGCUGUAGGAAGUGUUGCUGUCACCUGUGUCACUGGAGCUGUCUGACGUGUAGUCUGAGGAUAACGAUGAUGACGUGUGCGUGCCUGUCGGCGGGUUGUCGUGUUUCCGCUUGUGAUUCCGCUUGCGCCCUUCACGAUCGUGCCUCAACGCUGGCGCCGCUACUAGCAGCUGUUGCUGCUGCUGGGAUUGCCUGCUCCUGGCGCCGCCGAGUAGAGCGCUGGCGGCAGCGCCGCUGCCGGGCAGGGCGGCGAGCGCCCCACCGACCGGCUCCCGUGGCUCGGGUUUAAGCGGCUGUGCGUACCAGGGCUGCAGUGCAUACGGCGGUAUGCAUAUGAGGUUGGGCAGGUGGAUCGGGGUGACAAAGCGAGCAACUGUAUGCCCAUAACAAGAUAUUUGUGUAACACAACAACCCCAGUUCGUUUGUCGGAGUGCUAGAAGCCGGUCACCGCCGCGCGCGGGCGCAGCAUGGGAGGAGAAUAGCUUUGCCUGGCUUACUUGGCGCACCCGCCUGCACCCCACGUCCGCAUGCAGCCCGUUGCAGCACGCUGCAGCCCAGUUCAAACCCAUACAUACGGUGCCCCAGCCAAAGGGUGCCCCAGCGUUCCCCUAACGGCUCUCACACGGCACAUAGCAGCACCUCCCCAGCGGCCCACCUUGUCCCCUCCGAUGAUGCCGUACCCCAGCGCGAACCGCUCAUCGAACUUGGCGUCACUGGUGUAGAAGUCAGGGUUGCCCCGCCGCUUGGCCGCCUCGCGCUGCUCCUUCUGCGGGAGGGUUGCGUGGCACACGGUGACAUGGCAUCGAAGGUGCAUACAGAACGAAUGCGCCCGGUGUCGGCACAAGACGAGUACACGGCGUCUGGCGCGGCACGUGGCAUGGGGCUCAAGGCAGGCCGCAUUGCGGGCUCUAGGACUCAACAGGACUCAGGCGGGGCCUGCAGCCGGCUGUGACACAGAGCCCCGCGUCGGCCAGCGGUCCUGUCCUGUCCUCCAGGCGUACGUACCUCGUUCUCAGGGUGCUGCAGCUUCGUCUCCUGCUCCUUCCAGAAGUUGAUGUGCUCCAACUUCUUGUCUGGCUGGCCGUCCGCAGCCCCUGAGCCUCCUGCUUCUGCGCCCUCCUGGUCUGUCGCCGCCGCAGCUGCGCCGUCACCCUCAGCCCCGCCUCCCAGUUCGAGUCCCGCGUCACCGCCCGCUCUCCGAAGCAGCAGCGCAUGCCUGUGCUCGCGCUCCGCCUGCUCGUGCCGCUCCCGCGCCUCGUCCUCUUUGGCCUGGGCCUUGGCCUCGUCCUGAGCAACCUUCAGCCGGUUAUCCCGGUUGUAGACUGCAUCGCGAGCGGCGCGGGAGCGAUUGGGGGUUUGGCAGCGUGAAGUUGGCCCAAGGGACAGGGCUCAGUGGGCCCCAGAUCCCCGGUAGUUCCUUUGGAGCCAUGUAAGGGCUCCGUUCUCCUUGGCUCACCGUUCCAUCGCUUCUGCGGCAGGAUAUUGAGGCCUCCGUGACCGCCCAUUUCGGUUCUGCAGGCUUCUACGCUUCUUCUGGACGAUGUAGAUUGAAGACCAUCGUAUAGUUAGUAUGUGCUUCCUUCAGAGUAAUAGCAGCGCUCGCGUGCACUCUGGUUGAUUGGGGUUCCCCAAGUUUUGCAUUCAUUGGUUUUCCAAUUCGGCUUUCCAUGCGUACUGCGCUCUGUGCUGCCAUUCAUACUUUGCCUUACUCUGCAGCGUCUUUCGUUCAGCCUUUACAUUGAGAACAUUCCUGCCAAAACUGCUCAGACCUGACCGCUGAAACGCCUCCACGCACUGGAAUUGAACCUUUAUCGCGUUCGUAUGAUGUCUAAUGUAACUAGGGGGCUAGGCUGCCUGGCCGGCCCCCCGGGGCGCGGGCAUUUGCCGCUGACCGCCAGGACCGCACUGUGGUGACGGCAGUACAGCAGCAGCAGUAGGCGCCGCGAUGCCCUUGGAGGCGUGGGAGGUCUUUGACGCCUCCAAUGAGGAGCUGCUGGCGGAGCUGCAGAGCCUGCAGCAGCUGCUCAGGGCGGGGCAGACCCAGUAAGAAGGGCGGGUGGGUGGGUGGGAAGGGCUCUCAGGGCCUGGGUUCAGGGGGAAGAAAGACAAGCUCACCAGGACCUUCUUUCGCCGAAGCCGGGCCCUAUUGAUUCACCUCCUCUGCUGCUGGCUCGCUGUUGUUUUCCACAACAGGCACAAACUGCUGUACGACACCGUACGGCAGGAGCUGGAGGAGCGGGGCGUGUCCAACAAGGUCAUGGCGCAGCUAGCGCCCCCGGCCCCGCCCGCGGCGGCUGCAGCGCCGGUGCGAGCCGCUCCGCUUUAUGAUAGGGUGCUCAAGCUCACCUGCGUUGUGUGUGUGUGUGUGUGUGUGUGUGUGUGUGUGUGUGUCUGUGUGCGUGCGCGUGUGUGUGCAUGUGUGUGCAUGUGCGUGCGUGCGCGUGCGUGCGCGUGCGGCGUGAACCCCACGCUACUUUGCAACCUGCAGUCUGGCAGAUUGCGGUCUAGGCUUGGUGCAGCCGCGGCGUGCUCGUGCCCACCUUUGCGCCCGCUCCUCGCAAACUCACACAGACGCCGCCCCUGCACCGCUGCCCCCUUUUCUCCGCGCAGACAUUGCUGCCAGCCGUGUCCGCACACGCCCCGCUCUCGGCACAGACCUCCUCCGCUUUCCUGCUGCACGGCCACAGCCACGGCCACAGCCACGGGCAGGGUUACGGACCCGUGCACGGGACCGCGUACGGCCAUGGGCAGUACGCGUCAGCGCACCUCAGUCCCGCAGCGGCGCCGCCACCCGCGCCGCCGCCGUCGCCGCCCCCGGUCCAGCAUGCGGAGGUGGUGGUGGUGCCACAGCAGCAUGUGACACCGGUUGCCGCGUUGUACUCGUUCGGGUCGUUUGGAGGCGGAGGAGCCGGCGGCGGAGGUGGAGGAGGUGGGACGGGUGGUGGAAGCGGGGCGUUGCACCAAGCACAGCAGCUACAGCAGCCGGCCUCUGCCACGCGCCCCCACGCCCCCGUGCCAGCACCAGCGCCGGUGCCAGCGCCGACGCCCCUGCCGCCAACUCCGGCGGCAGUGGCAGCAGCAGCAGCAGCAGCUACAGCCGCGGCCAUUAGCCCAAUGUACCGCAACUACGACGUCGGGCCGUCGGGCCACAAGGAGCAGGCACAGCCGCAGGCCCCGGCGGCCUCUCCUGCUGCUACUGCCGCUGCUACUGCCGCAGUAGUGCGGGGCUCUAGCGGCGACGGCGGCAGCGGUGACUACAGCGAAGAUGACAUGGAGGGCGGGGACUCGGACAGUGAGGGGGGCGAGGAAGACGACACGGAGGGCGGCGGCGCCGCGCCGGAGGGGGAGGCCUCGGCAGCGGCGUCGACGCCGGCGGCGCCGUCCAAGCCGCCACUGAGUGUGUGGGAGGCGGCGAUGUUGGCGUUCCAGGAGGAGCAGAAGAAGCUGCGCAGGGUGCGGCGGAGGUGCACGGCGGCCUUAAGCUCGGAGCGGGGUUAUACGCUGGGGAUUGCAGGAAUGGCUGAAAGCUAGGAUGGGGUUGCGAGCCAGCUGCUUACAUGUUAUGCGGGCUUGCCUGACUAACCAACUGCCUACCUUUGCGUGGCCCUGGCGCAGGCGCGCAAGGCCAUCCGCAAGGGCCCGGCCAAGCCGGCGCCCAAGAAGCCGGCGGUGCUGGUGCCGCCCGCGCCGCAGCACGCCAGCGGGCACGCCCACUCCGGCCCCACGCCCACGGGCCUAGCGGGCGAGGCCUCCGCCGCCUCCGCUUCCGGCCGUGGCGGUGGCGGCAGCAGGCCGCCGCGGCCCUCCGGCAGUGGUGGCCCGGCCUCAACCGGCGGGGCCGCGGGGCGAGGCGGCGGCGGCUUCGGGGCAGCGGCCCUGGCGGCGGGCGCGGCGGUUGUGGGCGUGGGCGGCAAGGGGCCGGUGUCGCCUGGGUCGCUGGGGGCGGGCGUGGUGGCUGGCGGCGCCAAACCGGCGCACCCGGGCGCGGCGGCGGGCCCGGGGCGGCCUGUGAGCAUGACUACGGCAUCUGGCGGCUCCGCCGCUGGUACGCCCGGUGCUGCUACUGCGGGUGGAGCGGCCGGACAGGCGGCUACAGCCACGACCUCUGCAGCUGCAGCAGGCCGUGCGGCCGAGACCGCGGCGGGGGCGAGCAAAGCCGCUGUGCCCGGGGCGGGGUCGGGCGCCGGGGCUGGGCAUGGGCACGGCGACACGGUGGCAGAGGAACAGGGGCUGGCCGGCCGGACGGAGGCGGCACCGACGGCGGCAGCGGACGUGGAGUCACGGGAGACGUCGGAGACAGGCAGCGUCAAGGUGCGUUGCAAACAAUGCUAAGGUCAAGAAUGGUUGCUCCUUUGGUGCUCUGUGUAGUUUGAUGGCAGCAUGUGCAUUUGUCUGAUGUCUUGCUAUGCCGUUAACCACUAGCAGCUGCGAUUUGCUUACCUGCCUUGCUGGUUUUGCUCCCCCGGCAGACGGACGAGGAGUCAAAGGAGGUUCUCAACAAUUCCAUGCGGGAAGCAGCCGCCGCCGCCGCCGCCGCAGCAGCAGCAGCCGCAAGCGAGUCUGACUCCGAGCCUGAGUCAGUGAGCUCAGGCGGCAGCUCUCCGCAUCGACAGGUUGUGCCGGGGCCAGGCGCUGCGGCUCCUCCGUCGCGAGCGCUGUCCGCUCAGGCGGCGCCCUCGCCAGCGGCCGCCGUGCCUCUCUCACACAGGCCGGGCAUGCCGACUAUGACGUCUGUGGGGCCGCGGUCAUUCAGCGCUCAGGCGGCGGCCGCUGCUGCCGGGGCCAGGGCUGCUGGGGGCGCUGGCGCGCGCACGCCGCAGCAAGCGGCGGCGGCGCCGCAGCCACCGCGGGCGCGGGUGGGGGCGUGGGAGAGUGCCAGCAUACCCAGCAGUGACGACGAGGCGCAGGAGGAGGGACGUGUGGGUGCGCGGCACGGGUCUGGCAGUGACAGUGGCGGUGACAGCGACUAUGGCUCAGACUCCGAGCAACAGCAACAGCAGCGGGGACAAGUGGCAGCCGGAGGCGGGGCGGCGGCGCGGCCGGGCGCAGAGGAGCUGCGGCGGCGGGAGAUCGCUGCGGCGGCGGCUGCAGCCAUUCAGGGGCGGAGCGCCGCAGACCCAGCCGUGCUUGCGGCGGCCACAGGUGUGUGUGGAAGCAGAAGGUUGUUGCGUGCAGGCCACAUGGGUUGUCGAGGAUGGAAGGUCGUGUGUUGUAAGAGCCGUGACUGCCCGCGGGUCGCGUUUGUGCAACCUCAUCUACCCAGCUGCUCUGUCCACAACCGCUGUACCGCUUGAGGCGUGCUGACUUCGCCCAUGUGCCUUGUGCCCAGGUGGUGCGCUGUCACGCGCCGUGGUGAACGCAGCAGCUGGCGGUGGCAGUGGCGGCAGCGGCGGUGAUGCCAGCGGCGGCGGCGCAAUGAAGGUGGACCGCUGGGCUGACUGGGAUCUGGCGGACAGUACGGACGACCUGUCCGCAUGGGCCACUCGGGAUGAGGAUGACCCCAUGCGGGGCGGGCACCUGAAGGGCCUCACGCGGCCUUUGGUCGGCCACAUGGCGCCGGGGGGCGCUGGCGCCGGCGCCGGCGGUGCAUCCACCGCCGCGGCGACUACUGCCGGCGGGGUAGGCGGCGGCGUGGCUGUGGGGGCGGGAAGCGGAGGGAGAGGCGGCAGCUUGGGGCGCUUCGCGCCACCCCAGUCGCUGGCGGCGGCAGCGCCGGGCGCGUACGGGCUGCCGUUGGCGGCGCAACUGCAGCUGCAGGCGGCGGGCGUGGGACGGCCGCCGGCGGCAGCGGCAGCGGCGGCAGCGCCUGCCGGCUCCGCAGCCGGCGGCGGCGGCAGUCGGCCGAUGAGCGCAACGUCAGUCGCCGGUAGUAGGGGUGUUGGCAGCUGUCGCGGCGUUGGGGGUGCAGCGGGCGCCAAAGUGGGCACGGCGUCUGAAGCGGGCGCCGUUGCGCCGCAGAACGGCAAGGCACAUGCAGAGCCGUCAGGGUUAGCUGGUGCGGCGAACGGGCGGCCUAUCAGUGCUCACAGGCUGAGCGGCAGCAGCGGUGGCGGCGGCGGGAAUCAAGAUGGCGGUGGCGGCGAUGGCGGCAGUGACAGCGACAGUGAAAGCUCGGAUGAUGAGUUGCCGCCGCCGCCGCCACCGCCGCCACUGCUGCCGCGCUCAGGCGUUGUACCGGCAGGCGCUAGCGCAGCGGGGCUUGCUACAGCCGCGUCCAACGGCAGUAGCGCUUCGGCGGCGGCGCUUGCCCACACGGCUUCAGGUUCCAGCCCCUCGUCGCCCGCACACCCAAUGCGCCGCCCGCCGCUCGCCCCUUCACCGCCCGCCGGCCCCUCGCCAAGCCCAUUGCGGCCCGCCGCCGCCGCCGCCGGUGCCUCGGCGCCCUCCCGCGGCAACUCCGUCAACAGCCUCUCAAUCGGUGGCGGCGGCGGUGGCGGCGGCGGCAGUAUCUCUGGUGGCAGCGCCGCCUCCACUGCUCCAGCGGAGCCGCUGCCUGGCGCCGUGUAUCUGCAGCACUUUGCCGCAUUUCACGAGAUCCUCACCCUUUGCUACAGCCCCAUACCCACGCUGCUGGAAGCCGCCUCCCUCUCUGCCGCCGCGGCCGCGGCCGGCGCCGCUGCCGGAGGCGGCGGCAGUGGCAGCAUCACCAGCAGUAGCCGCCCGCCAUCACGCAUGGCGACGCCGGGCGGCGGCGGCGGCGGCGGCAUCGGCGGCAGUAGCUUCAGCGGCGCCGACCUGAUGGACCGCUACAGCUCCCUCAUGGCGCGGGCCGAGGCCUGGGUGGGCAAGCUGCAGGCGGCUGUAGCAGCCGGGCAGCUGCCGCCGGAGGCGGCGGCUGCAGCAGCUGCUGCUGCUGCCUCUGCUACAGCCGCGGCCCCGGCCGGGACGACGGUGGCGACGGUUACAGGGGCAGCGGCGGAGCCGCCGCCGCGGCGCUUCGUGGCGGUUAUGGACGACACGGCUCAUCCCGAGGUGCGGGCGGUGGUGGCUGCGGCGCUGGAGCUGUUGGCGGGCGAGGGCUGGUCCUUGGAUCCAGCAGACCAGGUCACGGAGGUGGCCAAACCAGACGCCGCCGCCGCCUCACCAGACGACGACGGACCAGGCACUGGCGGCGGCGCCGUCGCCACCGCCGCCGCCAGCCGCCCCGGCACCGCCGCAUCUUCAUCAUCGGCGGGAGGCGCACGCGGCGGCGGCGGCGCCGCCUUCGGCAGUGGCCCCGGCCAGCGGUGCUGCCACAUGUGGGACGUGUGUUGGAGCUGGAGUGUGCGUGUGCCGCGGCUGACGUCGUACAACGAGUUGCUGGUGUGGCAGCGCGUGAACCACUUCCCGGAGGCGCGGCAGCUGACGCGGAAGGACCUGCUGAAGAAGCACCUGGCCAAAUUCCAGGUGAGGGGGUAACUACGGCAGUUGGAAAGCAGUUGGAUAGGAGCUUAGCCCAUGGCCUGUAGUCAGAAGCAAAAGGGAAUAACAGUGCCGAACGGAGGGCAUCUGCAGGGGUACUGUACAGGAUGGGAGAACUGAGGCGUGUGCAGUACAUACGCCCCGCCAACCACCAACGCCACAUCACAGUUGCCACCCGUGGUUGCCACCCCAAGAAAUGCCACACUGUGAUUUAAUCGCUCCGUUCUCCAUUUACGGCCACCCCCAACACCCCCCCUCCCUCCAGGCCAUGCACAACACUGGCCGGGCGGCUGCGCUGUUCGACCGGCUGACUCCCACCACCUUCACGCUGCCCAAGGAGGCGGCGGCCUUCCAGGAGGCCUACGUGCGGGCGCUGCACGGAGUGGAGCCCACCUGCGUGCAGGUGCGUGGGCGUGCGGGCAUGCGUGCGUGCGUGUUUGUAUGUGUGCGUUUGGGCUGUGUGCGCGUGUGUUAGGGGGUCACAUUCAGGGUUAGUCAAGAAAGUGGUAGACGGAGGGGGCAGGGUGACUUGUGUGCGUGCGGGUCUUGAUGGUAUAAGGGGGUGCCUGGAUUGGUGCUAGGAUGAGGUUUUUGGUUCUGCGUACGCCGCGCCUGCUCCUGGUUCUGCGCCCUCGCCUACUGCUUGCCUGCCUGUGUCCACCCACACCUCCCUGGCUACAACUCCGCUUCUCCUGAAUAAGUCAUGAAUGUAACCCCAACCCUUGGUCCCCGCCGCCCCCACACGCCCCGCAGCCCAUGGGUUUGAACCUGUGGAUCCAGAAGCCCGUGGGUCUGUCGCGCGGCCGCGGGAUCAGCCUGCUCACCUCGCUCAAACAGAUGAACACGUCGGAGCCGGUGGUGGUGCAGAGGUGCGCGUGAGCGUACUACAUCCACAGAACGGCGGUGCAUGUAUGGUGUGUGACUUCAAACCAGCACGUUGGGGAGAGGAUCGGCACCGUACCGUACAGCGUAUGCGUUUGCCCGCAUGCGGUGAAUUGCCCCGCCUUUGGUCCCGCCAAUGCCUACAGCUGCGCCCGACCUCCCCAUCCCCCUCCUCCCCCUCCCCCUUUUCCCCUCAAAUCCUCCUGGUGAUCCGCGUUCUCCCUCCUCCCCCUCCCCCGCUACCCCUCCCCUCCCCUCCUCCACACCUCACAGGUACCUGACUGACCCGCUGUUGGUGCGCGGCCACAAGUUUGACCUGCGGCUGUACGUGCUGGUGGCGGGCUUCAACCCGCUGGAGGCCUGGAUGUACGAGGAGGGCUUCGCCAGGUGGGGUGGGGGGCGUGAGGGGUGCACCGGAUGUGUGCGUGUGUGUGUGUGUGUGUGUGUGUGUGUGUGUGUGUGUGUGUGUGUUUGCGUGUGUGUGGUUUUCUGCUGUGGGUAGAACAAGGACUUAGCGGGCAGGUACCGGUGUGUUGGAAAUGAAGGCCUAUCUCCAUCGGACGCCCAUGCGGGGGCUGCCUUGAGAUUAGCAGUGCAAGCUAUAGAAAGGUUGUUUGGUGGAGGAUAUGCACCAUGCGGGAGGAGUGCACUGCAUCAUAUGGCGAGGGCACGCCCCCCACCAACAUCACUGCCGUACACAAACCCACGCACACACCCCGUGUGUUCACACACACACACACACACACACAUACAUACAUACACACACACACACAUGAACACAGGUUCAGCACGCUGCCUUUCAGCCUGGACGAGGCCCAGCUGGGCGACCUGCACGUGCACCUCACCAACAGCAGCCUGCACCGGGCGCGGGCGGAGGCGGGGCAGCUGCCGGACUUCCUCGCGGAGGCGGGUGCGUGCGUGCUUGGGAGGAUGGGGCGGGCAGGGGGGCGGGCGGGCGGGGAAGGGGAGAGGUGAUGGGGGGCGGUUGGGUGCGCGAGCUGGGUGCGGGGUUGGGCGUGUGGGUGGCGAGUUGGGCGGGUUGGGAGGAGGUGCGGGUUCGUGUGGCGUUGGGCAGGGAUGCGCGGGGCAGCGCAGCAGUGCUACCCAGCCGGCCCAUGUGACCUCACGGCUCCUCUGUACGUGUGCGCAUGUGCGUGUAUAUGUGUGUGCGUGUGCGUGUGCGUGUGCGUGUGCGUGCGCGUAUGCGUGUCGAAUUGAAAGGCCGAACACGACGGCGCUGGAGGCAAGUAUCGAUACCCACCUGUGUGGGUACGUGUACCGUGUGUGUGUGUGUGUGUGUGUGUGUGUGUGUGUGUGUGUGUGUGUGUGUGUGUGUGUGUGUGUGUGUGUGUGUCACGACGCGCUGUCAGUACCUCCAUGCCGCCCUGCCCCGCCCCCCACAGAGCCGGCGGGCGGCUCCAAGACCAGUCUGGCCACACUGCGCAAGCUGCUGGCCAAACAGGUGGGCGCAUGCAUGUGUGUGUGUGCGUGUGUGUUAGAUUGCACAGGGAAGGAAACACGCAAUGGGUGUGCGUGUGUGUUCGGAAAGCACAGGGGGAAAGGGUUUGAGGGUGUGCGUGUGCGUCUGUAUAUGCGUCUGCAUGUUUCCCAAUGCCAUGGGUAGGCCUCGCCUUCACACCACACCGCCCCUCCACCCCAAGGGCGCGGACUGGCAGUCGCUGUGGGGCCGCAUCUCCGAGCUGGUCACCGCGGCGCUGUUCGCGGCCCAGGAGUCCGGGCCCAUACCGCACGCGCCCAACGCCUUCGAGCUGUUCGGGUUCGACGUCAUGAUCGACGCCCAGCUCAAGGUGGGUGGGGGAAGGGGUGGUGGGAGGAGUGACAACAUGGGUAUUCACCCAACGCAUCCCCCUCCUGUGCGCUUUGCUGGCGGGCUUCGGGCUCUGCACCUCGCGCCCCCGGCCCCCGCAAAGCACCCCCACUCCCUACACCCCACCUCCCUCCCACAGGUGUGGCUGCUGGAGGUCAACUCCAGCCCCAGCCUGGGUCUGGACACGGCCCUGGACCGCGCCGUGAAGCCACGGCUGGUGGCGGAUGUGCUGGCGCUGCUGGGGCCGCCGGCGUGGGACAGGGGCGCGCUGGCGGGCGUGCUGAGGGCGAGGACGUGCACGGGUGAGGGCGGGAGAGGGGGCGGGGAUGGGGUGGGGCGGGGAGUGGAUGGGUGGGAUCAUGGAUGUGUGGGAUCGGAUGGGACUGGAAUGGUUGCUUGGGCGAACAUUGCGCGGUGUCAGGGGAGGCGUGGUGUGGGGCUGCUGGUGUGUGGUUGUCGGGAUAGUUGGGGUGUGGGUGUGGGGCACGCACCUGCGCACAGCACGCCAUGCGGGAUCAGGCUGGCCCUCUGGACCCGGUCACUCGGGUCACUCGUGUCGCUCAUGAUGCUCACUGCAUGCCGGCCCCUGUCUGUGUAUGUGCGCCUGUGAUGUGCCGGACCCUCAGGCCGUGGCAGCCGGCGCGGCGCCCCGGGUCUGCUGAGCGGCACCGUGUCAGAGGAAAAGGAGCUCGCGGCGGCAGACCUGGCGGCAGUGUUUGGAGGAGGACGUGGAGCCGUGGCAGCGACAACAGCAGUGGUGGGGACAGGAGGGGGAGGGGGAGGAGCAGGGAAUGGGGCCGGCGGAGGCGGCUCGCUGCCGCGGCGCUAUGGCGAGCAGCCGACGUGUCUGGGCGGCUUCACCACGCGCCUGGCGCCCUCGCCCUUCCACGACCGACUGCUGAGGCUGAGGCGGCCGCUGCCGUGAGCGGAGAGAGGGCGUGUACGGUGGGCGAGACACGGGGAUGGGGCGUGGGGCAAAUGAGGGGCGAGCGAGUAGCCAUGAAGCGUGGCGUGGCGUGGGUGUGCUGAUGUCGGGAAUAAGGUUGUGAGGUUGGGCGUUGGGCGGCGGUCAAGUUUCAUGCGAAGGUUGCUGGUGCGAGCUCUUGCUGGCGGUGCCUGUACAGACCAUCCUGGCUUGUCAAGGAGAACCAAAGCUAUUUUGGGUUGUGCCCCUUGCCAGGUUCUCACACCUCAAUAAUGCUCAGCAAGCCAGUCAGUCCGUGGCCCACCAAGUUACGAGUUCCCUGAGUUCAUUGUGACAAUUUGGCCUAGUGGCCGCGUCUCUCUAUGCCUCAAUCCGGCAGACGCUUCUGAGCGAGGCGGUCCUGCCCUCAAUUGCAAUCGCCACAUUGCCACGGCGGACCCACAGACGACGCGACAGGGCGAGCAAGCGGGUGUAUGCCACUCAAUGCACUGACGCGGAAUCUCGCGGAAGUUCAACCCGCCGCCGCGCCCAUUUUCCUCCCCCCCCCCACGUCCGCCGUCCUGAGCUACGGCCCCUCAAGCGUUGCGCCUGUACCAUACUGACAUACACGGCUCAGUGGGUGAGGGCUCAGUGGGGCUCAGUGGGUGAGGGCUGGGUGACGGCGCAGUCGUGGGCUCAGUGGGACUCACUCACUCUACCCUCCCGACGGUGCAGGGACGUGACGUCAACUCCGCAACCAACAUCCGGCACGCGCUGGUGGAGAUGCUUCUCGGGCACAAGCGACCUGCAUCGCUGCAGACUGGCGGCGGCGGCGGCAGCGGUGGCGGCGGCAGCAGCGGCGGCGGCAGCGGCGGCGGCAGCAGCGGGGGCGCGUGCGCGCAUCUUGGUAGCGCAGGGGGCGGGAAAGGCCACAUGGAGGAGGAGAGCGCAGCGCCGCCCAAGAAGCAGCGCAAGCGCGCAGGCUGAGGAGCCGGCUGGUGUCUAGGUAGCGGCCCGCGGUGGGGCUGGCAGGGCAUGCGUAGCGGCAUGACAAGUAGUGCGGCUGUUGACAACUGUGCUUCUGCUGUGGCAUCGCGACUGCUAGACAGGCACCUGGUUUGGCUAUGUGCCUGUGGAAACCGACCCCGGCUAUGUCCGGGCGAUGAGGUUGUUCGGCCCCAGACUGUGGAGGGGCUCAGCCCCUUUUCCCGUGACCGGGGAACACUUGUCCUCCGCCGCCUCGGGGGUUCAUUACAGAAGGGAGCUUAAGCUCUGACCACUCUCACCGACAAACUUUCUCCACGAGUCAACUACAAACGGCUAGAUGCUGCGGGAUUAUAAGGUCCGUGCCGAAAUAUCAAACACAAUCUUUCUGCCUUCGCCUCCCCCAUUUCUCCCACCUCCCGCCCCAGCCCUGCACCAAUGCCGCCCUGCCUUUGACGGCCGCUGACGGACAAGACUACGAAGCGCCAGGGCAGUUCGUGUUCAACGUGACACACGCCGCUAACAAUGGCUGCCCCCUCACCAUCUUUGAGGUGCCACCCAUCCACAACAGCGCCUGGCUGCGACAAUCCAACCGUAAUGUACAAUAACAGUGCCAUCAGGCUUGAAGUCAGACCCAUGCCAAAACGACCCGCAAAGGUGACCCAUGCCAAUCCACCGCGACCGCUCCUAUGUGUGCACGUCCUUGCAUGCCUUGCGCUUGCAAUCAAGUCCGCUGUUUUCCACGUUACAUGUAGGGGUCGAUUUGUUUCGCCCUCAGCCUCCGUCCAGGGCCUAGGUUCCGACCUAGCCCUUGAGUUCUGGCAAAACCGGCCAGCAACCUUCACCAAGUCACAGUCACUGCCAGUGGCUGGGCAGGUGCACAGCGCCGAUGUUGAAUAUCUCAAUCCGCGCCACCAGUACCGCUUCACUACGACCAUCUUCCACACUGUUGCGUCUGUGCUGACCGAUGGGUGCUGGUCCAUCCCGGCACUUGGUCCGCCCAAGUACGGGUCAGGGGCUCAGCGGCGGCCACGCUUGGUAGUGCGCCGGGCCGCCUGAUCAGCAGCCACCUGCUCCGGGUCCAGCGGGGCCACGCGUGCAGCCUGGAGCAGCUGCCACAGCGCGGGUGCCGUCGUGAAGACACCCACGCUGUUCUUGUGUCCGACGCUUCGCCGGCUGAGCUCCGCCGACUUGGCGACGUCCCCAGCCGCGGCAGCGACUGCGUCCGCCGCCAGGGCGUCAGCGCCUGGCGUCCACAGUGCAUCGGGGUCUCGUUCGAUUAGGGCCGGCGAUGUGCUGCUGCUGCCGCUGCUUCUGCCGCUAGCGCUAGUGCCGGUGCUGUUGCCGCCGCCGCUGCCACUGUCGGUGCUGGGGUGGCUGGUGGCAUCGUCCAGGUGAUACACGAUGCCGGUGUAGAUGCCAGCUAGCAGCAGCGUGUCGCCGCCACUGACGCUGCUGCCGCUGAGCACCGCACCGCCGGAGCUGUUGGGCAUUCCUGGAGUGAAUAUGGGCGCAGGCAGGCAGGCACGUGGGCGGAUCCAGGUCAAUAGGUGGUGUGCCAAGGCUGAAGCUAGAGAACAGUGGACACACAAUCACAAUGACAUGGCACCUGACCGUUGAUCGUCACAUGCUACCACCUACCUCCGUACGGUACUUGUGGCCGCGAACUUGUCAACACCCACUCACGUACCUGUAUUGGCGGAUGCAAUGCCCCGCAGUCCAGUGGCGCUGAUCUUCGAGAGCACGCAUGUGUCCACCGUCGGCACCUCGGCUGCCGUGGUCAUGACUGGGCCUGCUGAGCCUGCUGCUGCCCCGCCUGCCCCACCUGGCGGCAGGCUUGCGUCGUCGGCCGCCAGCUCCUGGUUGACAGCCAGGGGGAACGACGCCACACCCAGCCACUCGCCCGGUAGCAGCGUCCACUGCCGCAGCCACAGGCCGGGGCCCCGGCGGCCGCGGAACACGGCCACGUCCAGGUCCGCCCGCGCCGCCACGAAGCGCAGCGCCGACCUAAACGCGCUGAGGUCGUGCAGGCAGGCGCCGCCCUCCUCGAUGCAGUGCCGCGCCGUCAGGACAAUGUUGCCCGUGCCGUCGCCGAACGUCGCGACGCGCACGGCGGUCCCUAUGCUCGCGCCCGCGUGCAUGACCCGGCUGACGCUGCCGAACACCGCAGGAAGGCCGCGCAGAGUUGCUGCGUCUCCUGCGGUAAAUGGUGGGGGCGGGGUGGAGGGAGUCGGGUGCUUUCCGUGGGUGCAGCAGCAUGGAGCGAGCGCGUGUCCCUGGGCAGCUCCCGCAGUCAAUUGGCUAGCAACUGUGUCCCAUUCUGCACUCAUCACUGGUGACCUGGUUGCCAUCGCCGCAUGAUGCUAAAGCUGGUGUUUUUGCUCAGGUCAAGCCGCCGGUGAGCACAUUGAUGUGCCAUCCCAAUGAAAACUCACCGACUCCUGCCGCACUCCCCACGCCCAGGCCAGCCGCCGAGGCUGCACGACAUGAGAGCGGUACGAGUUGCACGUACGUCAAAGUGUGCAGACGCGACGCGCGGAAAUGCGAAGCGCGCUUGCGUUACGCUGCCAAUUAUACCGUCUUGGUCCCGACGUGCGUGCAUGCCGCUGCACGUCUCAGGCGCGCGACCUCUCCCAAACACCCCAUGGACGCUUCCCAAGCCUCCCGCAUACCGUAGCGCGAAACAACAACCCCAAUAUGCGUUUAGGAUAUUCAUCUGUUGGUCGGUCAAUCAGACACGCCCGGCUGUGCCCACAGCGGCGAAAGCAGACUCCCGCGACGGCAACACCCUCAGCUCCCAGUCGCAGAACCUUCCGCGUGCUCAUGCGACUGAUGCCUGUGGCCUACCUUUAAAUACUAGGUAGGCCCCGCAGCAUACAUGCAUAACAGGACCUCACCUUGCGCAUGGAUAAUUUGGUCCGCCCUCGCGGGUCUGAGCCCAGCUUGCUGGAGGCCUGUAUGGCUGGCAUCCUUCAGGUCAUCCAUCGUAGCGUAGCCACCCUCCAAUAGCAGGCGCAGGUCUGCGUCGGUGAACGUGCCAGCUCUUGCAGGCCCGAGCAGGCUCUCCAAAGCCGCCCGCAGGUUGACCAAAGCCAUAUCCUGGGACCCAAGUGCGUUAUUAUACAGGGAUUUCUU